GAUGAACGCUAGCGGCAGGCUUAAUACAUGCAAGUCGAGGGGCAGCACGGUUAGCAAUAACUGGUGGCGACCGGCGCACGGGUGCGUAACACGUAUACAAUCUACCUUAAACAGGGGAUAGCCUUUCGAAAGAGAGAUUAAUACCCCGUAAUAAAUUGAACGGCAUCGUUUGAUUUUGAAAGCUCCGGCGGUUUGAGAUGAGUAUGCGUCUGAUUAGCUAGUUGGUGAGGUAACGGCUCACCAAGGCGACGAUCAGUAGGGGAUCUGAGAAGACUAACCCCCACACUGGUACUGAGACACGGACCAGACUCCUACGGGAGGCAGCAGUAAGGAAUAUUGGUCAAUGGAGGCAACUCUGAACCAGCCAUGCCGCGUGCAGGAUGACGGCCCUAUGGGUUGUAAACUGCUUUUAUACAAGAGAAAACCCUGGUACGUGUACCAGGUUGAUAGUAUGUAAGAAUAAGCAUCGGCUAACUUCGUGCCAGCAGCCGCGGUAAU
rnacentral:rRNA from 1 species